CCUCUUUACUAAAACAAACCCAGCUGCCUAUGUCUUUUAUCUUCCUCUAUUUUUACUCGUUUCAUUCCGAAGAACUCAGUCACUAUCACUCCUCUCUCUCUGAAUCUCACUCUCUUCUCUUCACUUUGGGAACAGGCAGACCGUUCGUGUGACAGCCGUGAGCGGCGCCUCUUUUUCAGAGCGACAACCCAGGCAAACGGCGACAAAUCUCUACAACUUUGAGGAGCCGACUAGAAUGGAAAACGACGUCAUUGUACCUUUCCUUCUCUUACUCAACAGAGACAAAUGUCACACCAAUGAAAUACUAGAGAAUCAUGAAUGACAUUCAUAAGACUCUAGAUGUGCUCAAACCUUGUCCGAACUUGAAUGUACUUCAUGUAGAGUUUGGCCAAACUUCAAACUAAGCACACCAUAAAGAGUGGACCUCAUUGAAAUCCUUGUGAAGUUCAAUUCAGAUAUAUCAAUGCUAAACUUAAUGAAGUUUAAGAGGAGUGCGCAAAAUAUAUUCUACUGCAUCUCACUAAAUGAUGACAUGCAUGCUUAGUACCUAUGUGAGGGGAUUUAGUCAUUUUUGGAACUUUGUAUUUCUUUUAUUGUAAAUUGUUAGAACUAAUUAAAUAUAGAAUCAAUAUAAAAAAUUAUAGGUUGAGUAAAUUUAGCUUUUUGAUGUGCAUACUUUGCUAAAUAUUCAUUUUAUGACAAACUAGUUUUUCUGUAACU